rnacentral:lncRNA from 1 species
UUGAAGGGAGUGACCAGCCAUUGGAAACCCUGGAUGACCAGGAUCUUGGGCAGGAUGAAGGUUCCAGAACGGGCCUGCCUGCCCCACUCCCUGUGGCCAGGCCACCCAGAGCAGUUUCCGGAGUGACGCUCCUCCCCUGCCCACCACCCCACCCUCGGGCUUUGGCUGCCUUUGUCUUCCAAGGGCUCCACAAAAUGGCUGCCACGGCCCUCCGCCAUUUUGUAACUGCGGCGGGCAGUGUCCUCGGGAGGGGAGAAGGGAGGGAGGGCGACCCCUGCUCACUGCCUGCCCUCGUGGCCUGGACAGAGCCCAGCACCAGCCCCGCCUGCCCGGCCUUGGCCAUGGCCACCCCAGGCUUGGCACAGCCACUUGGCAGGGAGGCUGGGAGGCCUGGCCCCUCACCCAGUCCUGCCAGCCCCUCGCCACCCCGAGGCAGGCCGCACACCAGAGCCCAGGAGCGGGUCCCUGAGGCCACGCCACAGAGGGAGUCCUCGGCAGUGGUGGGGCAGGUUUGCUUCAGGAUCCGGCAGGGAGGGAAGAGUACCCUCUGGGCCCCACCCGCCCCUUCAUACUGCUGACCUGGCCGAGGACCUCGGGGCUCCCUGGUCAGACACAGUUCCCAAUGCUGUGCUCCUGCAGUGGUCAGUCGGGCCACUGACCUGGGCCAGGCUCUGCCCAUCCUUGGGGAAACAGGCUGGGGGCUUCCUGAAGGAGGCAAGCCCUGGGCUGCUGAGGUUCUAGAAUGAGCCAAGUGGGGCGAGCUGUCCCCCAGCCACCAGCUUCCACAGCCUCCCCUGUCCCUGCCCAGCUCGUGUGUCCAGCAACCUCAGCCAGCAGGCACGUCCUCUGGGCCUGCUCCUGGCUCUCUAGUGUGUUGAUCCUGUGACUUCCCCAUACCCGGCCGACCAGAAGCAGCAUGGUACUGGGGGUUCACCCCAGGGGAGGUUGAGCCCUGGCCCUGUUCACUAAGGCCUCAGUAACUUGCUUAGGGCCUCUGUCAGUUAAUGAGGCUGGCCUUGAACUUGUGACCCUCUUGUCUCAGCCCCUCCAGCGGCUGGAUGACAGGAGUGUGCCAUGGUGCCUGACAAGGCCUGGUUCUCCCAAGGUGGAAGGGAGCAGGCCCUGUCCCUGCUUGCCUGCGACCAUUACCAAGAAGGCCCUCAGAAGUCGGUGGAAGCUCCUCUGCAAAGUAGGGAGGAUGCUGAAAAGUGCCCAAAGGAUGGCACCCCGCCUGUGGGCAGCACCCCACGUCCUGUGAGGCUGGGCUGGGGUCUCCCCAAGCCCUUCCCAGGCUCCACUUCUGCAAUUCCCAGAUGGAACGUUCUGUCACCCCAAAGGGAAGUUGGCACAGGUCCUCCCUCCAGGGAGACCAGCUGAAGACAGAACGAUGGGAUGCCCUCCGCCGCCCAGCUGCCCAGCCCAUCGCUGUCCACAUGCCACAGCAGGCCUGGAGCCUCCUGGGAGUUCAGCCGCCCAGGCUUCCCUCGCAGGAGGAGCUCCCCAGAGAAGGGCCGCCGGGCGGGCAGGGCCUAAGGAGAACCAGGCUGGGCUGCAGACGGCCGCACGAGGAGGGCAGGCCUCAGGUCUGACUCAGGGUGCCAGGCAGGGGCUCCACCCGGAGAUGCCACCCUCCUCUGCCUGCGCUGGGUGCUCAGGGCCAGGGAAAUCUGGGGACGAAGAAGUCCAGAUGUUUG